rnacentral:rRNA from 1 species
AUUGAACGCUGGCGGCAGGCUUAACACAUGCAAGUCGAGCGGGGGAAGGUAGCUUGCUACCGGACCUAGCGGCGGACGGGUGAGUAAUGCUUAGGAAUCUGCCUACUAGUGGGGGACAACAUCUCGAAAGGAUGCUAAUACCGCAUACGUCCUACGGGAGAAAGCAGGGGAUCUUCGGACCUUGCGCUAAUAGAUGAGCCUAAGUCGGAUUAGCUAGUUGGUGGGGUAAAGGCCUACCAAGGCGACGAUCUGUAGCGGGUCUGAGAGGAUGAUCCGCCACACUGGGACUGAGACACGGCCCAGACUCCUACGGGAGGCAGCAGUGGGGAAUAUUGGACAAUGGGGGGAACCCUGAUCCAGCCAUGCCGCGUGUGUGAAGAAGGCCUUAUGGUUGUAAAGCACUUUAAGCGAGGAGGAGGCUACUCUAGUUGAUACCUAGGGAUAGUGGACGUUACUCGCAGAAUAAGCACCGGCUAACUCUGUGCCAGCCGCCGCUGUAA